rnacentral:lncRNA from 1 species
UACAUUGAUUGAACAGCUUCUUACAUCUAUGUAAAGGGCUUUGUCGGCACAUUAAAAUCUUAAUAUUGCCGCAUGAAACAUCCUAUCUCGAUCGAGGUAAUUUUAAUUUCCUUCGUCCUAUGAAAAUUCUCUCGAAGAUUGAUUCCAUGUAUAAUAUAAUAAAUAUUAAAUAUUUUGCAAACUUCCUAUUUAGAAAGGUUCUUGCAGAAGUACUAUCAGCGUAUUAAACAUAUUAUUAUGGAUAAUUUUUCUUCAAGUUAUGCUAUAUAUGUUCUAUUGUCUGGAAAAAUCGGUGAAUUACUGAAGAAAGAUAAAAGGGCACUUGUGUUCCUUAUGUCUUUAGAUGGUCAUAGCGCUUCUUCUGAGGAAAUACUUAUUCUUUAGAUGCUUGAUGAUCACAAAAAACUAGCAAUGUCAUAACUAGAAGAAUAUUAUAGGGAGAUAAGUUAAUUCUAUCACCACUUUUUCUUUGUCUGAUCAAUUCCUAACGCAAUAUGUUUCAGAUUAUUUACUCUUUUCAAAUCGUUCUAUUUUGUGUUCAAUUUAUACUUUUCUUCUGGUGUAGAGUGUCUCUAGGAUUGAUUUACUUAAUGAAGUUUCUCAAUUUGAGGAAUUCUUGAUGUAUUUGUGGAUAUUUUAUUAACAAUUAUAUAUGAAAAGUUGCACGCAGAACGGGAAUUCACAGGUUGUUAUUCAAGCAUGCUAUACGAAAAGGAAUUUUCCUGGUGCAUUGACAAUGGGUAUUCAAAAGUGGUCAUUAAAUAAUACUCUCUGUUGGUAAUUAAUCUUUUAAAUAGCGAAUAUGUGUUCAUGGGUCUAUCUAUUGUUCUACAUUAUAUUAGAAAAAAAUAAUUAAAGGUAUGGACCUUUCAAAAUUGUACAUUGCUUUAGUCAAUGAAAGUAUCGAAAUGUGAAAAACAUUAUUUGAACAAAA